UAAGGAAUAUUGGUCAAUGGACGCAAGUCUGAACCUGCCAUGCCGCGUGAAGGAUGAAGGUCCUCUGGAUUGUAAACUUCUUUUAUCUGGGACGAAAACGGGAUUUUUAUCUCAAUUGACGGUACCAGAGGAAUAAGCACCGGCUAACUCCGUGCCAGCAGCCGCGGUAAUACGGAGGGUGCGAGCGUUAUCCGGAUUUACUGGGUUUAAAGGGUGCGUAGGUGGGCUUAUAAGUCAGUGGUGAAAUCUCCGAGCUUAACUUGGAAGCUGCCGUUGAUACUAUAGGUCUUGAAUUAUCUGGAGGUAAGCGGAAUAUGUCAUGUAGCGGUGAAAUGCUUAGAUAUGACAUAGAACACCAAUUGCGAAGGCAGCUUACUACAUAUAAAUUGACGCUGAGGCACGAAAGCGUGGGGAUCAAAC
rnacentral:rRNA from 1 species